GGCAACUUGUCCGAGUGGUUUAAGGAGAAAGACUUGAAAUCUUUUGGGCUAUGCCCGCGCAGGUUCGAGUCCUGCAGUUGUCG